rnacentral:rRNA from 1 species
UGGGGAAUUUUGGACAAUGGGCGCAAGCCUGAUCCAGCCAUGCCGCGUGAGUGAAGAAGGCCUUCGGGUUGUAAAAGCUCUUUCGGCCGGGAAGAAAUCGUGGUCUCUAACAUAGGCCAUGGAUGACGGUACCGGACUAAGAAGCACCGGCUAACUACGUGCC